CCUACGGGGAGCAGCAGUGGGGAAUAUUGGACAAUGGGCGAAAGCCUGAUCCAGCCAUGCCGCGUGUGUGAAGAAGGCCUUCGGGUUGUAAAGCACUUUCAGUGGGGAAGAAAGCCUUGGGGCUAAUACCCUCGAGGAAGGACAUCACCCACAGAAGAAGCACUGGCUAACUCCGUGCCAGCAGCCGCGGUAAUACGGAGGGUGCGAGCGUUAAUCGGAAUUACUGGGCGUAAAGCGCGCGUAGGCGGUCUGAUAAGCCGGUUGUGAAAGCCCCGGGCUCAACCUGGGAACGGCAUCCGGAACUGUCAGGCUAGAGUGCAGGAGAGGAAGGUAGAAUUCCCGGUGUAGCGGUGAAAUGCGUAGAGAUCGGGAGGAAUACCAGUGGCGAAGGCGGCCUUCUGGACUGACACUGACGCUGAGGUGCGAAAGCGUGGGUAGCAAACAGGAUUAGAUACCCGGGUAGUC
rnacentral:rRNA from 1 species